AAGUCGUAACAAGGAUUCCGUAGGCGAACCUGCGGAAGGAUCAUUAACACGUAUCCAAACGUUCAAACCGCCCCCCCGUGAACCUUCAUCAUGCUCUUGUAACCCGCGUAGUUCGCAAUCUCUGAUAAAUCAUAGCCCGGAAAGUUGCAGUGAUUCAGAGACCUCUGGCUACGUGCGAACAUUGGAACGGUUACAAUCGAGCGGUAGUUCUUUUGGCAAUGUUUCCCCAAGGUCAGUGUCGGAAAGUGUCAUUGAUUGUGCAAGGAUAGCGCUUCUGUGAUUCCUGUAGACCACUCUAAAGGGUCCCCAUAACCCAACAGUUUAAUGUGAAGCUCAAUGUAAUACAUUGGUUACAAAACCCGAACAACUAACAAUGGAUAUCUUGGUUCUC
rnacentral:misc_RNA from 1 species